rnacentral:lncRNA from 1 species
AACGAAAUUCCAAGUACACAAAAUGCAGAGUACAAAAUUCCUUCAAGUUUGGAAAUUUUGUCCGCUACAUUGUUCUAGUUUCCCACCAUACAAAAUGAUUAAUUUUCUUAUAAUUUUUAUUUUCCAAGAUAAUCUUUCAAGCAAUCGAACAAAUCCUAGUGCCUUCAAUACAAGUAUAGAACUCUUUCUAUGCGAAGGCAAUCAAGUUGCUGGUGGCUCGGUUGCUCUCAAAUAUCGAGUCCUCCUUUGACUUUUCUUUCUUCUAUGAUAUCCCUCCUAUUUCUUCAUUUGUGUUAGGAUAUCAGCUGAUGAUCCUCUUCAAGAUGGUCUCGACCCUCUUGUAAAGCAAAAAGAAAGACAGAAAUAAAGAAACAAAGAAAGAACCUUUGCAAUAUAAAAUCUACUUUAUGUUUAUUUUAUACAAGUGUAUAUCAUAUUCAUUGAUUUACUUAUUGCAAAAUAGUCCAUUUUGAGCUUCAUUGGAUCAUCAUAUGCCACCUCAAAUGAAUGCACGC